UACCAGCCACCCCGAGUGGUCGGGACGAUUAUUGGGCCUAAAGCAUCCGUAGCCGGUUCUACAAGUCUUCCGUUAAAUCCACCUGCUUAACAGAUGGGCUGCGGAGGAUACUAUAGAGCUAGGAGGCGGGAGAGGCAAGCGGUACUUAGUGGGUAGGGGUAAAAUCCGUUGAUCCAUUGAAGACCACCAGUGGCGAAGGCGGCUUGCCAGAACGCACUCGACGGUGAGGGAUGAAAGCUGGGGGAGCAAACCGG
rnacentral:rRNA from 1 species